ACCUUGAAAUACCACCCUUUAAUGUUUGAUGUUCUAACGUGGACCCGUUACCCGGGUUGCGGACAGUGUCUGGUGGGUAGUUUGACUGGGGCGGUCUCCUCCUAAAGAGUAACGGAGGAGCACGAAGGUUGGCUAAUCCUGGUCGGACAUCAGGAGGUUAGUGCAAUGGCAUAAGCCAGCUUGACUGCGAGCGUGACGGCGCGAGCAGGUGCGAAAGCAGGUCAUAGUGAUCCGGUGGUUCUGAAUGGAAGGGCCAUCGCUCAACGGAUAAAAGGUACUCCGGGGAUAACAGGCUGAUACCGCCCAAGAGUUCAUAUCGACGGCGGUGUUUGGCACCUCGAUGUCGGCUCAUCACAUCCUGGGGCUGAAGUAGGUCCCAAGGGUAUGGCUGUUCGCCAUUUAAAGUGGUACGCGAGCUGGGUUUAGAACGUCGUGAGACAGUUCGGUCCCUAUCUGCCGUGGGCGCUGGAGAACUGAGGGGGGGCUGCUCCUAGUACGAGAGGACCGGAGUGGACGCAUCACUGGUGUUCGGGUUGUCAUGCCAAUGGCACUGCCCGGUAGCUAAAUGCGGAAGAGAUAAGUGCUGAAAGCAUCUAAGCACGAAACUUGCCCCGAGAUGAGUUCUCCCUGAGACUUAGAGUCUCCUGAAGGAACGUUGAAGACGACGACGUUGAUAGGCCGGGUGUGUAAGCGCAGCGAUGCGUUGAGCUAACCGGUACUAAUGAACCGUGAGGCUUAACCUUACAACGCCGAAG
rnacentral:rRNA from 1 species